rnacentral:rRNA from 1 species
CUAUACAUGCAGUCGAGCGCAGGAACUGACGGAACUCUUCGGAGGGAAGGCAGUGGAAUGAGCGGCGGACGGGUGAGUAACACGUAAGGAACCUGCCUCAAGGAUUGGGAUAACUCCGAGAAAUCGGAGCUAAUACCGGAUAGUUCAUCGGACCGCAUGGUCCGUUGAUGAAAGGCGCUCCGGCGUCACCUUGAGAUGGCCUUGCGGUGCAUUAGCUAGUUGGUGGGGUAACGGCCCACCAAGGCGACGAUGCAUAGCCGACCUGAGAGGGUGAUCGGCCACACUGGGACUGAGACACGGCCCAGACUCCUACGGGAGGCAGCAGUAGGGAAUCUUCCACAAUGGACGAAAGUCUGAUGGAGCAACGCCGCGUGAGUGAUGAAGGUUUUCGGAUCGUAAAACUCUGUUGUAAGGGAAGAACACGUACGAGAGGAAAUGCUCGUACCUUGACGGUACCUUACGAGAAAGCCACGGCUAACUACGUGCCAGCAGCCGCGGUAAUACGUAGGUGGCAAGCGUUGUCCGGAAUUAUUGGGCGUAAAGCGCGCGCAGGCGGCCUUUUAAGUCUGAUGUGAAAGCCCCCGGCUCAACCGGGGAGGGCCAUUGGAAACUGGAAGGCUUGAGUACAGAAGAGAAGAGUGGAAUUCCACGUG